UACGAAGGGGGCUAGCGUUGUUCGGAAUUACUGGGCGUAAAGCGCGCGCAGGCGGUCUUCCAAGUCAGUGGUGAAAGCCCGGAGCUCAACUCCGGAACUGCCAUUGAAACUGUAAGACUUGAGGAUGAGAGAGGUGAGUGGAAUUCCCAGUGUAGAGGUGAAAUUCGUAGAUAUCUGGAGGAACACCGGUGGCGAAGGCGACAUCCUGGACCACGACUGACGCUGAGUGAGCGAAAGCCAGGGGAGCAAACGGG
rnacentral:rRNA from 1 species